AAUUGUUGCGAUGAUGAUAAAUGUUUAUUACCCAGCUCAUUAUGAGGUCUUCUGUUUGGAGGUCAGGGAAUUGAAUUUUUUUCAACAUUUAUCUGAGCUUUUUU